rnacentral:rRNA from 1 species
UCCGUAGGCGGUGCGGCAAGUCGGGGGUGAAAUCUCUGGGCUUAACUCAGAGGCUGCCCCCGAAACUGCCGUGCUCGAGUGUGGGAGAGGCGAGCGGAAUUGCAGGUGUAGCGGUGAAAUGCGUAGAUAUCUGCAGGAACACCCGUGGCGAAGGCGGCUCGCUGGACCAUUACUGACGCUGAGGGACGAAAGCUAGGGGAGCAAACAGGAUUAGAUACCCUGGUAGUCCUAGCCCUAAACGAUCAGGACUUGGGGUGUCUCCCGUUCGGGAGACGUCCCGGAGCUAACGCGUUAAGUCCUGCGCCUGGGGAGUACGGUCGCAAGACUGAA